AUUGAACGCUGGCGGCAUGCCUUACACAUGCAAGUCGAACGGCAGCACGGGUGCUUGCACCUGGUGGCGAGUGGCGAACGGGUGAGUAAUACAUCGGAACGUACCUUAUCGUGGGGGAUAACGCAGCGAAAGCUGUGCUAAUACCGCAUACGCCCUGAGGGGGAAAGCGGGGGAGCGCAAGACCUCGCGCGAUUAGAGCGGCCGAUGCCUGAUUAGCUUGUUGGUGGGGUAAAAGCCCACCGAGGCGACGAUCAGUAGCUGGUCUGAGAGGACGAUCAGCCACACUGGGACUGAGACACGGCCCAGACUCCUACGGGAGGCAGCAGUGGGGAAUUUUGGACAAUGGGGGCAACCCUGAUCCAGCAAUGCCGCGUGAGUGAAGAAGGCCUUCGGGUUGUAAAGCUCUUUUGUCAGGGAAGAAACACCGGCUCUAACACAGUCCGGGAAUGACGGUACCUGAAGAAUAAGCACCGGCUAACUACGUGCCAGCAGCCGCUGUAA
rnacentral:rRNA from 1 species